AUGCUUCUCCUAAAGACUAAGCCAUGCAUGCCUUCGAAUACGAGGAAGCAAUUCUCUCUGAAUCUGCGAACGGCUCCGCAAACCAGUUGUAAACUAUAGCAAGCAAGCCUGGGUCCGCCUUCGGGUGGGCUCGGGCGAUAAGGAUAACCCUGGUAAUUCUGAGGCUAAUACAAGAACUUGACCCCCGGUGACCGGCUUGUCUGGAAGGCUGGGGGACGUGCGAUUGUGGCUUGGUUUUUCCAGGAAAGGGCG
rnacentral:rRNA from 1 species